rnacentral:lncRNA from 1 species
UUGCCUAAAAUGAUCACACACACACACAUACACACACACACAAAUCCUUCCACAUUUAAUUUGAUUUUUUUUUACUAUGUUCCCAAAGAUAAAUGGAUCCCAAGUUUAGGUGAUAAGUUUUGAAGUGACUUUUAAAAAUAUCGCUAAAUUUUAAUUUCCCUAGAUAUCUUUCCCCAGCCAAUGAUAACAUUCUUGCUGACAUACCCAGAUCGUCUAUUUCUAUCCCAAAGGUGAUGAGGAUAUCUGACAGAUAGAGACACAUCAGCAGCCAUGCCAACUGGCUGCCAGCUUGGACAUAUGUACAGAGCAGAGAGCACACCAAAGUUCCCUAUGCAGAGAGCCAAGAGCCCACUGACAUUCGCCAAUGAAUGAAGAACAUGUCAAUAUCACGACAGCGUAGUCAAGUGUGGAGUGAGCCAUGUUAAAGGUUCUGGAGAGGAGACGAUGACCACCUGGGUCGGGCACCACUCUGCUAUAUAUAUGUGCCUCAUUUGGCAUCCACUUUGCCUGUCUGCUGCUGGGUUUCCAUCUGUCGACUCUCAACAUAAUGUCAGAGAUAAAAACUGAAGACUCCAUGGCUUCAAAAUGCAUUUUUUCUGCUGGCUGCCUGAUGGCUGUCUGGGGACAUAAAAUUUAGAAAGCAACCCUUGCAGACUGACCCUCUUAUUGGUAAAACAAGUCCAUAAGCUGGGCCAUUAUGUAGCAUAACUGGCA